UAUGUGAUCGUCUCUCGCAUAUCAAUAAGCGGAGGAAAAGAAACUAACAAGGAUUCCCCUAGUAACGGCGAGUGAAGCGGGAAGAGCUCAAAUUUGAAAUCUUAAAGGGUUUCCCUUUACGAAUUGUAGUUUAAAGAAGUGUUUUCUGUUGAGGUUUUGGUAAAAGUUCUUUGGAAUAGGACAUCAUAGAGGGUGAGAAUCCCGUAUUUGACCUUUACUUUCAACUUUGUGAUACACUUUCAAAGAGUCGGAUUGUUUGGGAAUGCAGUCCAAAAUGGGUGGUAAAUUUCAUCUCAAGCUAAAUAUUGGCGAGAGACCGAUAGCGAACAAGUACCGUGAGGGAAAGAUGAAAAGAACUUUGAAAAGAGAGUUAAACAGUACGUGAAAUUGUCAAAAGGGAAGCGUUUGACACCAGUGUUGUUUUUCUGAAAAUCAAUUAAAGAACUGUUUAUGCUAAGUUGUUUAGACUUUAUCAGCUAACUGUUUAGUUUUGAGCUUUUCUUUAAUGCACUUUUCAGUUAACAAGUCAACAUCAAUUUCUUUUGCUGUAAAAAAGCUUGAGGAAGGUGGCUUGAGAUUCGUCUUAAGUGUUUAUAGCCUCUUGCCUAUGCAGUCGGAGAGAUUGAGGUCUGCAGCGUAGAUCCUUCGGGGCUAAAUGCAUUUGUGCUAAGUUAUAACAUUUUAUAGACAACUUGUUGACUAUGAUUUGUCUUGUAGCUUACUCGCUUAUGUUAUUUUACCUACGCUUAGGAUGUUGACACACGCGCGUGCUCG
rnacentral:rRNA from 1 species